UACAGAGGUCCCGAGCGUUGUUCGGAUUCACUGGGCGUAAAGGGUGCGUAGGUGGUGAGGUAAGUCGGAUGUGAAAUCUCCGAGCUUAACUCGGAAACUGCAUUGAAUACUAUUGGGCUGGAGGUUUGGAGGGGGACUGGAAGUUCUUGGUGUAGCAGUGAAAUGCGUAGAUAUCAAGAGGAACACCAGUGGCGAAGGCGAGUCCCUGGACAACACCUGACACUGAGGCACGAAAGCUAGGGAGCAAACAGG
rnacentral:rRNA from 1 species